rnacentral:lncRNA from 1 species
GCUUCUUUGCAUGUGUGUGGACAGAGUUUUUAUACAUGCCCACAACUUCAGGCGACGUGCACGUAUUCCUAGACAGAGCAUUGUCGUCAUCUGCAAGCUGAAAGCUGGGAGGAUGCGUGUCCAGGUUCCAUCAGGAAGAACAACGUGUAGAGGUGGUUCCCCCACUGCUUCAGAGCCUGGGACGGUAGAGUACAUCCCUUCCACUCCCAGGACACUUUAG